AGUAGGUGGUCAUGGACCUGUGCCCCGAAUCCUGUAAGGCAAGUAGAUGUGGAGUUGACAGGUCUCAGGACAGGAUCUUUCAGCACCAGACACAGGAGCUUCCAGCUUGCAGAACACACACGUCAUAUCUUCCUGGUGGAGCCUCCUAGGGCAGACAGCACCUGUGAACCAUAAGUGGUGGAAUUGGCAGCCUGUCUUUCUAGACCUCACUGAUAUACCACUGUGGCUGGCAGCCAGGCCUGGUUCAGCUAAAUCACAAGUCUGGCUGAAGUUCCCAACAUCUGUAUAUGUUCACUCUGCACUUGGGAAGCAGCCUCCUGAGAGCAAAGGCUGAACCGUCAUCAACAUCUAAGAAGCUUGAAAACAGAGUCUCACCUGAGUCGUGCCCGUGCCCUCCUGGGUGGCAGACCUCUAGUAGGAGAAUGCUAGAAAAUGAAAGUGGAUUGGAGAUUUUGAAUCAUGAGUGUUUCAGCUGAAAUCUAGACUGCUUGGUGCUUGAGGCUUUUCUUCUGCUCUCUCAGAAAUAUUCUUGACAAUUAAAAAUGUUGUUUUAAAAUGCUGUUGAAAGGUGGAGUGACUGUUGUUUACAGAGAUCCAUACAAAAUACAUCUGUCUCUUUACUCCUGAAAGAAAAGGCAGGUUGAACAUAUAAUUUUGCACUGACAGCGUUUACAAACAAGAAUUUUAAAAUAAAAUGUGCCCUUUGGUUUUGUGUGCGUGUGUGUUCGUGCACCUACAUGCGUGCACACUCGUGCAUAUUUGCGUGCAUGUGUGUAUAAGCAUUCCACAGGCAUGUCUGGGAAGCUGAGAGGUCUCCAUUCUUACUGUCAGCUGUCAAUAAGCUAAUGUAGAGCAGAAGCUGGGAUGGAGGUGGCAAAUCCCUCACGCAGACAUCUGAACAGGUUUCCUGUGCCCUACUUACAGACAGAUAGCAUCAUCUGGAAAACCAUACAUCAGAAAAAUAGGUGGCCUGCUCCUGAUGGUAAUGCUUGAGGUGUCUGAAGAAAUUCAGAGGCACAUCCAUUCUUCUCUUUCGCUAUUAUAUUUCUUUCAUUUCUAAGUUAAUGAAGACACAACUUAGAAUCUCAUUUGUUUUAAGGGAAAGGAUUAAACUACAGUGGAUGGAAAGACUCCUAGCACUACCACCUCCACCUGUCUGGUCCGAAGAAGCCAUUCCCUAUGGCUUUGCUGUCAUUCUUCACAUCAUUGUUCAUGUGAAGCGGGGUACCUCUGCAUGAGCGGAGUGGUACCUCCGCAUGAGCACAGUGACUAACCAUUGAGUUAUUUUUCUUGUAGUGACUUUAGUGUUUUAUGAGUCUUUCCAUCUUAUGUCUCAUGAAUUAACCUCACCCCACCAUCUGAAAUAGCACAGUUUGAUC